rnacentral:pre_miRNA from 1 species
UUUUGAGUUUUGCCUUGUUAAGGCGAACAUUAUAUGUUUUUAUGAUUUAAAUCAUAAAAACAUAUGAUCUUCGCCUUAACAAGGCAAAACUCAAAA